ACUGUGCCCAGCAGGUUCCUAGCCUGUCUGAUCCUGUCCCAUGCUUGGUAACCAAGUUCUGCUUUACUGAUUGUGGUCUAUUUAACUCCAUGCUUCCUGGUUCUUGACCUGGGCUGCAAACUGGUUUUUGAAAUAUUCCUAAUAAGCUUUUCUCUAGGAACUGAACUUCCUGUAAUAAGAGGAUCCUUGAUGGACCAAAAAGCAAGAGGGAAAGGACGCACAGGAAGAGAAGGAAAAGGAGGAAGGAAGAAUUUCUUUCAUGUAAGACCCAUUAACCAAAUAUGCCAGAUGGUGCUGCUCUGUGAGAUGGUUCUGUGUGCAGCAAUCAAGGACUUGUGGUCUCAAGAACUCACAGUCAAGAACAUAACAGCUACUAAGUAGAAGGGCCUGGGUGUCAUUUGGAGACUGAUAUGGGAGUUUAUUAGAUUCCAUGGAGAAGCUGGGCUGCAGAGAUCUGAACAACUCUAAAAGAAGAAUGAGAUCAACCUGUUUGAGUGAAUCUGGUCUCCUGGGCCCUUGAACUGAAAAGGAGAUGAAUAAGCGACUAAGUUCAGAAUCCUCCUGGGGCUGGGAGGGCUUCAGGGAACUGGGGAGCUGGUUGUCUCCAUACUGGUAUUUUAAUAGCAGACAGGGAGCCAUUUUGCUUACACUGUGGGCCUGUGGGGGUUGGAGACAAUUGUGCUCUAGGCAAUUCAUGGACUGCUGCUACUUAGUCUACUCCAAAGCCCCAAAGAGCAGAUAGAUGAAAAUAACAAAACACCUAUGGGGACCCAGCUUCCAGAACAGGAGGAACAAGAGAAAACACAGGACAGGAGUCCUAAUAAAAUCUAAUGGAAUACAGACUAGGCAAGACAAAUAGCAACUAAACCAAUAAUAAAAUACACAAUAGCAUCUGAAGAGACAAUACUAUGUAAAAACUUCCUACCUUAAAGAAAUUUCAAACUAAAAAUCAGUGAAUGAAAUGAACAGUGCUGAUGAGCCAGGUAUUUAGCUCAGUGGUGCCACUGCCUGCCUUGCAAGCACAAGGUCCUGAGUUUGAUCCCCAGUACCAAAA